CGUUAUAUAAUCGUGAUUUCAUGAUGAAAACGAGUAACAACAGGCAAGAAAAUGGAAAAGACUGGAUUAAAUGAUGAAAGAAUCUGUAAUUACAUUACUGGCAUGGGUUUCAUUCUAUCAGGAAUCAUACGGACGGGAAAACCUGGUCAGCUGAUCUAGUUGAAGCGUUAAGAAUUUUAAAAUGGCAUUCAGGAGGUUGUGAUAAGAAUAAUGCAUUACGACGCUAUGUAGAAGAACAUUUUUUUUUUUUGGGGGGGGCUCUAGUUGUUAUUCUAAACUGAUUGCAUGGAUACAUAGCCACCAAGAUACGCAAUUGUGUGGGCAGUGGCUUAUCUCCGUAUCCUUGAAAUCACAACCUUUCAAUUAUAGUGUUUUUGUUUUUCACAUGAUUACAAACUUUGUCAAAUUUUUUUGCGGGUCUUGAUGGUAAGGUCCAGGUAACGUGACCCUCCAUUUCUUCUUCUUCUUCUUGCAUUGGGGUAAAAGAUUGUCGCAAAGUAGAAUGUUUUAGAAAACUGAACAAUAAUUGACGCUGAAGCUGA